rnacentral:misc_RNA from 1 species
UUUCCGUAGGUGAACCUGCGGAAGGAUCAUUAAUACUAAUCCACACAACCUUAACCUAGCCUUUUAUGCAGCAUUGGUCCAGACUUGCGAAAGCGGGCCUGCCUUUGCAGCAUCAACCAAAUCUAACUAUUCAAAGGAUCAUAACUAAGCUCUAUAACAAAAACCAAAUUCUCAACGAUGGAUAUCUUGGUUCCC